UAUGCAGGGAUGUUGUCUGGAGGGUUCCCU
rnacentral:piRNA from 1 species